rnacentral:snRNA from 1 species
AAGGAUGAAUGGCAGGGGAGAUACCAUGAUAAUGUAGGUGGUUUUCCCAGGGUGAGGCUUAUUCAUCGCACUCUGGAUGUGCUGACCCCGAGAUUUCCCCAAAUCUGGGAAACAUGAUUGCAUAAUUUGUGGUAGUGGGGGGAGUUUGCACUCUUUCCUG